UACGUAGGGGGCAAGCGUUGUCCGGAAUUAUUGGGCGUAAAGCGCGCGCAGGCGGUCAUUUAAGUCUGGUAUUUAAUCCUAGGGCUCAACCCUAGGUCGCACUGGAAACUGGGUGACUUGAGUACAGAAGAGGAAAGUGGAAUUCCACGUGUAGCGGUGAAAUGCGUAGAUAUCUGGAGGAACACCGGUGGCGAAGGCGGCAUCCUGGACCAACACUGACACUGAGGAGCGAAAGCCAGGGGAGCAAACGGG
rnacentral:rRNA from 1 species